AAAAAGGGUGUUUGCCACUUGCAUGGCAUGCGGACCCCAAUUGGGGCUUCGUAGGGUAUGGCCAUCAAGACAUACUCAGCACAUAAUUUUUUUCUUAGCGGGGCUGCUGGCUGUAAAUAAGCACCGGCGCCUCC